AAAAAAAUAUGGUUGUCAGCAGUGCACUGGCUGACUGAUGGCAGAAGAAUGUUUGACAAACAUGUUUGAAUAAUAAAUAGAGCAGGAAAUAGCAAGGACUGAGAUUUUCUAAAUAAUCUAGAGGCUUUAGUAAUAUGUUUUACCCAGAUCACAUACUUGUAUAAGUAGUAGUACAGUUUAGCACUGAAGACAUUUGAUUAUGUCAUACUCUGUUGUCAGUAAUACUGAGAAAAGGAUGGGUUAGCUGAAGAAACCAACUUAAGAGUAAAAAAGUUUCAGGUCAAAAUACUUGGACAGUAUCUGGAGAAACUGAAAAGAGCUAAUAAAUUUAACAGUCUUCUUCUUAGUCAUAACCAAGCAGUAAAAUCAAAAUAAUAAUCACGUGUAUGGCACUGCAUGACUCAGCCAACCAUAUUACUUGCACAUGGGAGUUUUAUUUUAUGAUAUGUCUAUCAGUUAGUUCUCCUCUUCAGUUGAUCACAAGCUCAUUUUUCUAUUUUGGAAUCCAAAUAUAUAUAUUUCUUUUAAAGUUAUUUUUCAUUUUAUGAAGUAGCUCAACUAAAGAUUGUUGGAUGUCAAGCUAUAUCCAAGAUAUAUAUAUCCUUGAUCUAUAGGGCACAAUCAAGAGGACAUCAACAUCAAGAAUCAUUUUUCUGCUUAAAAUGCGAAAACAAGUCUCCUGUGAGAUGCAGACAAGCCCAGAGGGGUCUACAGGUCAGCACGACACAAAGCCUGGAUCCCAUUGCAAGUAACAGCAACCAACAGACAAAACUACACCCCCUUUUUGCUCUGAUAUUUUUGCAGUUGGCUUCCUCUGAAAGGGUAAUUUUGUCUUGGCUGAUGUGGAGGUUCAGAAGCCCAGUCAGAUUUUUACACCUCCCUUUUUCCUUACUGAAGAGAAGGAGAAAUUUCAGAAACUCUGAUCUUUGAAGUGGUAAAGGUUAAAAUAAAUAAAUCACUACUUCAUUCUUUUAUGCA
rnacentral:lncRNA from 1 species